rnacentral:rRNA from 1 species
UACAGAGGUCCCAAGCGUUGUUCGGAUUCACUGGGCGUAAAGGGUGCGUAGGUGGUCAGGUAAGUCGGAUGUGAAAUCUCCGAGCUCAACUCGGAAACCGCAUUGGAAACUACCUGGCUCGAGGGUUGGAGGGGGGACUGGAAUGCUUGGUGUAGCAGUGAAAUGCGUAGAUAUCAAGCGGAACACCAGUGGCGAAGGCGAGUCCCUGGACAACUCCUGACACUGAUGCACGAAAGCUAGGGGAGCAAACAGG